UACGUAGGAGGCAAGCGUUGUCCGGAAUUACUGGGCGUAAAGCGCGUGUAGGUGGUGGGCCAAGUCUGCUGUGAAAGCGCCUGGCUUAACCGGGCGAGGUCGGCGGAAACUGUUCGACUCGAGGACGGUAGAGGGGGGUGGAAUUCCCGGUGUAGUGGUGAAAUGCGUAGAGAUCGGGAGGAACACCUGUGGCGAAGGCGGCCCCCUGGGCCGGCCCUGACACUGAGACGCGAAGGCGUGGGGAGCGAACGGG
rnacentral:rRNA from 1 species